rnacentral:misc_RNA from 2 species
AAGUCGUAACAAGGUUUCCGUAGGUGAACCUGCGGAAGGAUCAUUAAAGAAAAAAGAGAACCCCUAGCUGCCAGCGUGGGUGAGCACCUCCCUGGAGGAGCGCCCGGGAAGCUUUUUGGGACGAUCUAUCCACACACCCCACUGUGAACCACCGCGUGAGAGUCAGUAAAGGGGUACACCCUCCGGGAAGCCUCCGAAAGCUCUGCGAAACCUAUAUACCUACAUAACCCAUAUGCAAGUCUCAGAAUGUACAUGUUGCGCUCCGUCGCAAACAAAAAUACAACUUUCAGCAACGGAUCUCUUGGCUCUC